UACGUAGGGUGCAGGCGUUAAUCGGAAUUACUGGGCGUAAAGCGCGCGUAGGCGGCUUUGCAAGUCGGGUGUGAAAUCCCCAGGCUUAACCUGGGAACUGCAUUCGAGACUGCAUUGCUAGAGUAUGGGAGAGGGAAGUGGAAUUUCCGGUGUAGCGGUGAAAUGCGUAGAGAUGCGGAGGAACACCGAUGGCGAAGGCAGCCCCCUGGGCCAACACUGACGCUCAGGCACGAAAGCGUGGGGAGCAAACAGG
rnacentral:rRNA from 1 species